rnacentral:rRNA from 1 species
GGACCCGCACAAGCGGUGGAGCAUGUGGUUUAAUUCGAUGCAACGCGAAGAACCUUACCUGGUCUUGACAUCCUGCGAACUUUCUAGAAAUAGAUUGGUGCCUUCGGGAACGCAGUGACAGGUGCUGCAUGGCUGUCGUCAGCUCGUGUCGUGAGAUGUUGGGUUAAGUCCCGUAACGAGCGCAACCCCUAUCCUUAUUUGCCAGCACAUCAUGGUGGGAACUAUAAGGAGACUGCCGGUGAUAAACCGGAGGAAGGCGGGGACGACGUCAAGUCAUCAUGGCCCUUACGACCAGGGCUACACACGUGCUACAAUGGUAGGUACAGAGGGAAGCCACCCCCCGCGAGGGGGAGCGGA